GCCCAGACUCCUACGGGAGGCAGCAGUGGGGAAUCUUGCGCAAUGGGCGAAAGCCUGACGCAGCGACGCCGCGUGGGGGAAGAAGGCCUUCGGGUUGUAAACCUCUUUCAGCAGGGACGAAGCCACUCGGGUUAAUAGCCCAGAGGGUGACGGUACCUGCAGAAGAAGCCCCGGCUAACUACGUGCCAGCAGCCGCGGUAAUACGUAGGGGGCAAGCGUUGUCCGGAUUUAUUGGGCGUAAAGAGCGUGUAGGCGGCCAGACAGGUCCGUUGUGAAAACUAGAGGCUUAACCUCUAGACGUCGAUGGAAACCGUCUGGCUAGAGUCCGGAAGAGGAGAAUGGAAUUCCUGGUGUAGCGGUGAAAUGCGCAGAUAUCAGGAAGAACACCCGUGGCUAAGGCGGUUCUCUAGUACGGUACUGACGCUGAGACGCGAAAGCGUGGGGAGCGAACAGGAUUAGAUACCCUGGUAGUCCACGCCGUAAACGAUGGGUGCUAGGUGUGGGGGGUGUCGACUCCCCCCGUGCCGAAGCUAACGCAUUAAGCACCCCGCCUGGGGAGUACGGCCGCAAGGCUAAAACUCAAAGGAAUUGACGG
rnacentral:rRNA from 1 species